UACGGAGGAUGCGAGCGUUAUCCGGAUUUAUUGGGUUUAAAGGGUGCGUAGGUGGGAUUGUAAGUCAGUUGUGAAAGUUUGCGGCUCAACCGUAAAAUUGCAAUUGAUACUGCUUUUCUUGAGUGUAGACGAGGUAGGCGGAAUUCGUAGUGUAGCGGUGAAAUGCUUAGAUAUUACGAAGAACUCCGAUUGCGUAGGCAGCUUACUAGACUACAACUGACACUGAUGCACGAAAGUGUGGGUAUCAAAC
rnacentral:rRNA from 1 species